AGAGUUUGAUCCUGGCUCAGAUUGAACGCUGGCGGCAUGCCUUACACAUGCAAGUCGAACGGCAGCACGGGGGCAACCCUGGUGGCGAGUGGCGAACGGGUGAGUAAUAUAUCGGAACGUACCCAGUAGUGGGGGAUAACUAUCCGAAAGGAUAGCUAAUACCGCAUACGAUCUGUGGAUGAAAGCAGGGGAUCUUCGGACCUUGUGCUAUUGGAAUGGCCGAUAUCUGAUUAGCUAGUUGGUAGGGUAAAAGCCUACCAAGGCGACGAUCAGUAGCUGGUCUGAGAGGACGACCAGCCACACUGGAACUGAGACACGGUCCAGACUCCUACGGGAGGCAGCAGUGGGGAAUUUUGGACAAUGGGGGCAACCCUGAUCCAGCAAUGCCGCGUGAGUGAAGAAGGCCCUCGGGUUGUAAAGCUCUUUUGUCAGGG
rnacentral:rRNA from 1 species